UGGGGAAUAUUGCACAAUGGGCGCAAGCCUGAUGCAGCCAUGCCGCGUGUGUGAAGAAGGCCUUCGGGUUGUAAAGCACUUUCAGCGAGGAGGAAGGUGGUGAACUUAAUACGUUCAUCAAUUGACGUUACUCGCAGAAGAAGCACCGGCUAACUCCGUGCCAGCAGCCGCGGUAAUACGGAGGGUGCAAGCGUUAAUCGGAAUUACUGGGCGUAAAGCGCACGCAGGCGGUUUGUUAAGUCAGAUGUGAAAUCCCCGGGCUCAACCUGGGAACUGCAUUUGAAACUGGCAAGCUAGAGUCUCGUAGAGGGGGGUAGAAUUCCAGGUGUAGCGGUGAAAUGCGUAGAGAUCUGGAGGAAUACCGGUGGCGAAGGCGGCCCCCUGGACGAAGACUGACGCUCAGGUGCGAAAGCGUGGGGAGCAAACAGAUUAGAUACCCUGGUAGUCCACGCUGUAAACGAUGUCGAUUUUGGAGGUUGUGCCCCUU
rnacentral:rRNA from 1 species